rnacentral:ncRNA from 1 species
UGCGAUGAGUCGAGAAUAAUCACGUCGUCAGUAAUGGCGGUCUGCGCAAGCGGCUAGGUGAUUUUCUGGCAGCGGGCACGUUUUUCCCACCGUAUUGUGGGUGCCAUAGUUCAAAGGAAAUGUGGAUUUC